AAUUGUUGAAGCAGCCAGUAAUGUAGAAAUGUAGAACUCCUUGUUCUACUCUUUCCCCCCUUCUCACUACUGCACUUGAGUAGUCUAAA
rnacentral:sRNA from 1 species